GCGGUGGUAGUUCAGUUGGUAGAACGCUUCCUUGCCAAGGAAGAGGUCGAGGGUUCGAAUCCCUUCCACCGCU
rnacentral:tRNA from 4 species